AAAAACAUCAUGUGGAGGAUGGUUUUCAAGGAAUAAAAUUGUUUUCAAUUUGGACCCAGUUCUUUUUGCCAGGGUGAGAGCAGAUAGAAGCAAC